rnacentral:SRP_RNA from 1 species
CCGUGCUAGCCGGGGAGUCAGCGGUUCCCUGUACCCGCAAUCCGCUACAGCGGGGGUGAUGCUUUGCCUCAGGCAUUUCUCAAUAGAGCCUGCCCGCCGAUACGUGGCGUUGAAGGCCGAGUCUUGCGCAAUAGGCGCUUGUGAACCGCGUCAGGUUCGGAAGGAAGCAGCGCUAAGCAAGAGUGCUUAUGUGCCGCGAGGGCGCUUGGUUUGAGUUAACGGCGGCGGUAACGUCCGGGGGGAAAUGUCGAGGGUAUCGCGCACGG